rnacentral:rRNA from 1 species
UACGAAGGGGGCUAGCGUUGUUCGGAUUUACUGGGCGUAAAGCGCACGUAGGCGGAUCGAUCAGUCAGGGGUGAAAUCCCAGAGCUCAACUCUGGAACUGCCUUUGAUACUGUCGAUCUGGAGUAUGGAAGAGGUGAGUGGAAUUCCGAGUGUAGAGGUGAAAUUCGUAGAUAUUCGGAGGAACACCAGUGGCGAAGGCGGCUCACUGGUCCAAUUACUGACGCUGAGGUGCGAAAGCGUGGGGAGCAAACAGG